rnacentral:piRNA from 1 species
UGAAAACAGUGUGUUCUUAAGUGAACCAGA